AUUGAACGCUGGCGGAAUGCUUUACACAUGCAAGUCGAGCGGCAGCGCGGGGCAACCUGGCGGCGAGCGGCGAACGGGUGAGUAAUGCAUCGGAACGUACCCCGUCGUGGGGGAUAACUACCCGAAAGGGUAGCUAAUACCGCAUACGACCUGAGGGUGAAAGCGGGGGACCGAAAGGCCUCGCGCGAUGGGAGCGGCCGAUGCCGGAUUAGCUAGUUGGUAGGGUAAAGGCCUACCAAGGCGACGAUCCGUAGCUGGUCUGAGAGGACGACCAGCCACACUGGAACUGAGACACGGUCCAGACUCCUACGGGAGGCAGCAGUGGGGAAUUUUGGACAAUGGGCGAAAGCCUGAUCCAGCCAUUCCGCGUGAGUGAAGAAGGCCUCGGUUGUAAGGACUACUUCGUCAGGAACGAAACGGUAGGAAGGACGUAA
rnacentral:rRNA from 1 species